UGCCGGACCCGACUGCUAUCGGAUUGAGAUUUAGCCACGCGAGUCGAACGUCCCCCUGUUGCGGGGGGCGUGGCGUACGGCUCAGUAACACGUAGUCAACCUGCCCUGGAGACACGGACAACCCCGGGAAACUGGGACUAAUCCGUGAUAGGUCACCUCAUCUGGAAGGAGAGAUGGCCCAAAGGGGCGCGCGGGCUUCUUCUGCGCGUUCGCUCCAGGAUGGGACUGCGACCGAUCAGGCUGUUGGCGGGGUAAAGGCCCACCAAACCUGUAACCGGUACGGGCCUUGAGAGAGGUGGCCCGGAGAUGGACACUGAGAAAAGGGUCCAGGUCCUACGGGGCGCAGCAGGUGCGAAACCUUCGCAAUGCGCGAAAGCGUGACGAGGUUAAUCCNGAGUGAUUUCCGCUGAGGAGACCUUUUGUCGGCUGUAAAUAGGCCGGCGAAUAAGGGGAGGGCAAGCCUGGUGUCAGCCGCA
rnacentral:rRNA from 1 species